GCCACAGCUCAGUGUUUAGAGCAUCCACCUUACAUGUGGAGGGUCGCAGGUUCAAUCUCCGGCAUCUGAGAGACC